GGAAUUCUCUGACCCCCCAGCAUGGAAGAACUGGUCUCAUCAAAUCCAUUUCUUGUGAGUAUCACUCCUCAGUAAAGCUUUCUCUCAGUGAUUUCUCUUGUCUUCUUUUUCCUAAAGGUUUAUCUUCCACCUGACCAGAGGCUGGAAGUAAGAGCCACUAACUUCACUACUGGGCUCUCCAUGACUCUGUCUCCUGGAUCUUCUCUAGGGUUUUUUAAUCUCUCAUGGGAUACACCCAUUUCUACAACGAAAAGUGGGAAAAAUGUGUGCCACCACUUGCUGAUUGGCUUAGUCAAUUUUCUUGCUUAAAAAUUUCCCUUGUGAGAACAGGACUUUCUCUUCUCUCACUCCUCGAAGAUUAAAGGGCAGGGAAGAUUUGAAUCAGCCUUCAAUGACAGAAUUUCAGGAUCUCUGACACUCCCAGUUCUAUCACAAUCAUCAUGUGUAUAUAUUUUUAUUCCUGUGCAGAAGGGACUUCUCAAUGGGUCAGCGCACAUCUGCUUAAUUUCAAAUUUUUAAUAUGCUUCUAAAUAGUCAAUUGACCAGUUAUAUAUGUUCAAAUCAGUCAUAUAUGUUCAAAAUAUAUUCAGACCAGGUUUAGUAUUAUCAUAAUUACUUGCUUUAAUUAAUAUGUAAAUGGAUGCAAUAUAAGUGUGAGUUCCUUUUAUAAAAAGUGAAUUGAUAGCUUUGAAGAGAUAAGAAAAAAGUAAAAAAAAAUUGUCUUGGCCAGUUUGGGAUGCUAUAGCAUCAAUACUAUACAUU
rnacentral:lncRNA from 1 species